rnacentral:snRNA from 1 species
UUAUCGUCCGAUUAAAAAAAUGAAAAACAGAAUAAAAUUGGGGUGAUACAGAAGAUUAGCUGGUCCCUGCACAAGGAUAACAUGCAAAUUCAUGAAGCAUUCCAUAUUUUU